UUUAACUGAGCGUUCAGUUACUUGACGUAGACCCGAAACCGGGCGACCUACCCAUGAGCAGGAUGAAGCGAAAGUAAAAUUUCGUGGAGGUCCGAACCCACGAGCGUUGAAAAGCUCGGGGAUGACUUGUGGGUAGCGGUGAAAUUCCAAUCGAGCCCGGAGAUAGCUGGUUCUCCCCGAAAUAGCUUUAGGGCUAGCCUCAAGGUGAGAGAUACGGAGGUAGAGCACUGAAUGUCCUAGGGGGUAUUGCACCUACCGAAGACUAUCAAACUCCGAAUGCCGUCAUCUUAUACUUGGGAGUCAGACUGUGGGUGAUAAGAUUCAUAGUCGAAAGGGCAACAGCCCAGAUCGUCAGCUAAGGUCCCUAAAUGUAAGUUAAGUGGUAAAGGAUGUGGGAUUGCACAGACAACCAGGAUGUUGGCUUAGAAGCAGCCACUCAUUCAAAGAGUGCGUAAUAGCUCACUGGUCGAGUGAUCCUGCGCCGAAGAUUUCCGGGGCUAAAACUUACUACCGAAGCUACGGCAUCAGUAAUGAUGGGUAGGGGAGCUUCCCAUACGGGUUGAAGCAUGACCGUAAGGACAUGUGGACAGUAUGGGAGUGAGAAUGUUGGCAUGAGUAGCGAGAUGUGGGUGAGAAUCCCACAGGCCGUAAACCCAAGGUUUCCAGGGGAAGGUUCGUCCGCCCUGGGUUAGUCGGGACCUAAGCUGAGGCCG
rnacentral:rRNA from 1 species